rnacentral:rRNA from 1 species
UACGUAGGUGGCGAGCGUUACUCGGAAUUACUAGGCGUAAAGCGUAUGCAGGCGGUCAGAUAAGUCUCUGGUGAAAACUCACGGCUCAACCGUGAGAGGCCCAGGGAUACUGUUUGGCUUGAGUGUGGGAGGGGGAGACGGAAUUCCUGGUGUAGCGGUGAAAUGCGUAGAUAUCAGGAGGAACACCGAUGGCGAAAGCAGUCUCCUGGCCCAAUACUGACGCUAAUAUACGAAAGCUAGGGUAGCAAACAGGAUUAGAUACCCUGGUAGUCCUAGCUGUAAACGAUGUUCACUAGAUGUGGGAGGUAUCGACCCCUUCCGCGUCGACGCUAACGCAUUAAGUGAACCGCCUGGGGAGUACGGCCGCAAGGUUGAA